rnacentral:rRNA from 1 species
GACGAACGCUGGCGGCGUGCCUAAUACAUGCAAGUAGAACGCACAGUUUAUACCGUAGCUUGCUACACCAUAGACUGUGAGUUGCGAACGGGUGAGUAACGCGUAGGUAACCUGCCUGGUAGCGGGGGAUAACUAUUGGAAACGAUAGCUAAUACCGCAUAAUAUUAAUUAUUGCAUGAUAAUUAAUUGAAAGGUGCAAUUGCACCACUACCAGAUGGACCUGCGGUGUAUUAGCUAGUAGGUGAGGUAACGGCUCACCUAGGCGACGAUACAUAGCCGACCUGAGAGGGGGAUCGGCCACACUGGGACUGAGACACGGCCCAGACUCCUACGGGAGGCAGCAGUAGGGAAUCUUCGGCAAUGGACGAAAGUCUGACCGAGCAACGCCGCGUGAGUGAAGAAGGUUUUCGGAUCGUAAAGCUCUGUUGUAAGAGAAGAACGGGUGUGAGAGUGGAAAGUUCACACUGUGACGGUAUCUUACCAGAAAGGGACGGCUAACUACGUG